UUUAAAAAUCCAAUACCACGAUAAUUUAAAUUACAGGUAACUCUGAUUGUGCAAUGCACCGAAGUUAUGCGAGGUGCCCAUGUGUCAUAAUGCCCAUUCAAAUUACACAAUCAAGGAUAAGUAGUAGUCCUAGGAUAAGAGAAAUGAAUUAGUGAGCAAUGGUCAACACAAGAUAAAGUGAGUGUGGGCAAUUCUGCACAAUUUAGGUAAAGGCUUAUUUAUUUAUUUAUUUAAAUGGGGAAGGUAGCCUCUUUCCACACAGUUACAAAAAGGAAAAACAUCUUUAGAGUAAGGUAUUGUUCCCUGGGUUCUCCUAGUGGAGAAAUGUAAUUGCUGCAACCAAUAUGUGUCUCUGAAACAUGGCGGACCAGACUAAAUCUCAGAGAAAGACAAGGUCUUGACAUUCAGGAUGCUGAGCUCAACAUCCUUUUAAACUGCUUGCAUAUGACUUUGUGGUUUUCAAAUGAAAAACCUGCAACAUUUUAAAAACCUUAAGGAGUGAAUAACUGAUAUGUUUCUCUAGUGGAAAAUGAAGGCAUUCGAUGGCAUAGAGGCCUGUGGAUAAAUUUGGGAGAGUGGAGAUGACUAUAUGGAUCGUGUCCUCAAAGACCUCUGAGGCCACCUUGGGAAGUUAAGUCUUCUGGAAAAACAUCACAUGAUUCACCUUCACCUACCUAAGUUUCCAUGAAGACAGUCCUCUUAUAAGAAAAUUACUCUGCUAAAUAAAUGUUUAUUAUAAAAAACUUGAAACUGUGUGUAGAGACAAAUAAUAUUUUUCAAAACAAUGUAUUCUGUAU
rnacentral:lncRNA from 1 species